UGGAGUUUAGCAAGAACAAGGGGUUAUUCAAAUUCAAGUUAUAAUAUUAAAAAUAUUGGUUAUGAGAAGCAACAAGAAAUCAGCAAAGGUGAAGGAAGCAAAUUUAUGUAUCACUUUCAUGGACUGUGAUCUUUCACAGCUGAAGGACAGAAGUCAGUGAAGAGGGAUUGCAUUCUUACCCAAAUACUCCUUCGUGAUUGCCUGUUUUGCGGCUUUGGGUUGCUUGUUGCAGAUCUGUGUGUCUGAGUCAUCAGCCCAUGAGAGGAAUAUUUCUCACUGAAAAAUGAAAGAGACACAGCGAUUAGAUGAUCUUACAGUCUUUUUAGAGAUCAUUCACAUUUUAUAUGUCUAAAACAUGAUCAGAUCCAGAACAAAAAGGGGGAAAUUAAACAAAAUGCUCAGUGUAUCUGUUUGCAGAUUCUUCAGGGAGUAGAGAACAUUCACAUGGAUGACAUCCCAGUUUUCUCAUCAUGUUGAGUCCAGAUUUUCAUUCACUGACAACUAACUCAAAAAUCUAAAAUUUGAUAUUUUGAGGUUAUUCUUUUGGCAAAUAGAGAACUCAUAUUCCUCAAAAGGACCUUCUUUUCUUGGGUUGAGAUAUUCGUGACAAUUCCAUGUAGG